rnacentral:lncRNA from 1 species
GGGAAGAGCUGAGACUCACUGAGGACCAGCUGAGGCUCAGAGAAGGGACCCAGCACUGGUGGACACGCAGGGAGCCCACGCCAGGGCGCCGUGGUGAGUGAGGCCCAGUGCCACCCACUGAGGCCUCCCGUUCAGUGGGACGACGGUGAACAGGUGGAACCAACCAGGCAACCCCCGCCGGGCCCCACAGACGGGAUCAGAGCAGGAAAGGCUUCCUGCCCCUGCAGGCCAGCGAGGAGCCCUGGCGGGGGCCAUGGCCCUCCAGGCGAGGAGGCUCCCCUGGCCACCGCCACCCGGGCCUCUCUGCUGCUGGGAAAACAAGUCAGAAAGCAAGUGGAUGAGAGGUGGCGUGACAGACCCAGCUUCAGAUCUGCUCUAAUUUACAAAA